AUACGUAGGGUGCAAGCGUUAAUCGGAAUUACUGGGCGUAAAGCGUGCGCAGGCGGUUUUGUAAGACAGAGGUGAAAUCCCCGGGCUCAACCUGGGAACUGCCUUUGUGACUGCAAGGCUGGAGUACGGCGGAGGGGGAUGGAAUUCCGCGUGUGGGAGUGAAAUGGGUAGAUAUGCGGAGGAACACCGAUGGCGAAGGCAAUCCCCUGGGCCUGUACUGACGCUCAUGCACGAAAGCGUGGGGAGCAAACAGGAUUAGAUACCCUGGUAGUCCACGCCCUAAACGAUGUCAACUGGUUGUUGGGUCUUCAUUGACUCAGUAACGAAGCUAACGCGUGAAGUUGACCGCCUGGGGAGUACGGCCGCAAGGUUGAAACUCAAAUGAAUUGACGGGG
rnacentral:rRNA from 1 species